GCUGGGUGGAUUAGUGGCGAACGGGUGAGUAACACGUGAGUAACCUGCCCUUGACUCUGGGAUAAGCCUGGGAAACUGGGUCUAAUACCGGAUAGGAACGUCCACCGCAUGGUGGUUGUUGGAAAGAUUUAUCGGUCAUGGAUGGACUCGCGGCCUAUCAGCUUGUUGGUGAGGUAAUGGCUCACCAAGGCGACGACGGGUAGCCGGCCUGAGAGGGUGACCGGCCACACUGGGACUGAGACACGGCCCAGACUCCUACGGGAGGCAGCAGUGGGGAAUAUUGCACAAUGGGCGAAAGCCUGAUGCAGCGACGCCGCGUGAGGGAUGACGGCCUUCGGGUUGUAAACCUCUUUCAGUAGGGAAGAAGCGAAAGUGACGGUACCUGCAGAAGAAGCACCGGCUAACUACGUGCCAGCAGCCGCGGUAAUACGUAGGGUGCGAGCGUUAUCCGGAAUUAUUGGGCGUAAAGAGCUCGUAGGCGGUUUGUCGCGUCUGUCGUGAAAGUCCGGGGCUUAACCCCGGAUCUGCGGUGGGUACGGGCAGACUAGAGUGCAGUAGGGGAGACUGGAAUUCCUGGUGUAGCGGUGGAAUGCGCAGAUAUCAGGAGGAACACCGAUGGCGAAGGCAGGUCUCUGGGCUGUAACUGACGCUGAGGAGCGAAAGCAUGGGGAGCGAA
rnacentral:rRNA from 1 species